UGUAAAAAAAAGUGUCUAUGUAAUCUUCUGUCAGUCAAAGUGAAAUCAACUUUGCCAUCUUUAAAGUGUACGAUCUAAAAACCAUUCAAUUUAGCUGCUUUAAAUCUAUAAUCAAAGAGGAUAAAGAAGAAUGGGUCACCAAAAGCUCCUGAUACUUUACUGGAUUUUAGCCGUUUAUAUGAUCCUCCUGAUGUUUUUGAAGCUUUUUAUUUCAACAAAAUAUCUACAGGACAUGUUGCAAAAACUUCUGUCAGGAUUUACCAUGUACCGUACAUAUUUGAAAGCAUAUGUGUGUUUUGUUGUUUCUGCCAAAGGUUAGUGUAAGUCACAGGUGUAAAACUCCAGUCCUGGAGGGCCGCAGUGUUUUCUGGUUUUUGGGGUGCUCAAAAGUGUUACAUUUAAGUCAUUGACUGGCUAAGGAAUCCACACACCUGCGGCCCACAGACACUGCAGCCUCCUUGGGAUUCAGUUUGACACCCCUGAUGUACAUGCUGGAGGCGCAUUAAUGAGCUUUAUAAAUUGGUUUUAUUUCCGAGGCUAUUAUGCACUUGGUUGUUUUAUAUUUUCUGGAAUUAAAAUGUUUGGUAUUACGAUUAGAAGCAGCGCUUAGCAGUUUAAGCAGUUUUUCUCAAAAUAUCUCCUAUGUGAGUAACUCUUAGAGGCCAGGUUGCCAUUGAUUUGAAAUUUUCUAGAAGUCUCAUAUGUGUUGAUUACAAGAUUAGAAACGUUAGAAUGAGCCCAUUGAUUUAAAUAACGCUUUAAAUUUGGUCUAACAGAGAAUUAUUGGUUCUGUCCUUUACACUAUAAAUAACUUUAAAUUAAGGUGCUUGAAGAGGAAGUGACUCAGCUUCAUGAAUCUCAUUCCGGACACAUCUGACAAAAAGCAAAAAAAAAAAAAAAA